GAAGUCGGCCAGGCAACCGCUGCGCGCCCUACGGCGCGGGGAGGAAAGUCCGGGCUUCACAGAGCGGGAUGCCGGCUAACGGCCGGGCGCUAUAAGCCGCAAGGCGAAGGCGACGGAAAGUGCAACAGAGAGUAGACCGCCCAAGUCCGGGCAACCGGAACGGCAAGGGUGAAACGGCGGGGUAAGAGCCCACCGCGGACGUGGCAACACGGACGGCACGGCAAACCCCAUCCGAAGCAAGGCCAAAUAGGGAAGCACAUGGCGUGGCUCGCGUCGCUUCCGGGUAGGCCGCUGGAGCGCAUCGGCAACGAUGCGCCUAGAGGAAUGGUUGCCCACGACAGAACCCGGCUUAUCGGCCGGCUUCCCAC
rnacentral:RNase_P_RNA from 1 species